GGUUAAAGUAGUAAGGGCGCAGGGUGGAUGCCUUGGCACUAAGAGCCGAUGAAAGACGUGAUAAGCUGCGAAAAGCUUCGGGGAGGAGCACAUAUCCAUUGAUCCGGAGAUAUCUGAAUGGGGAAACCCGGCAGAGGAAACCUCUGUCAGCAUGUAGUGAAUCCAUAGCUGCAUGUGGGGAACCCGGGGAACUGAAACAUCUAAGUACCCGGAGGAAGAGAAAGAAAAUUUAUCGAUUUCCAAAGUAGCGGCGAGCGAAAUGGAAGGAGCCCAAACCGUGGUGCGUGCAUCACGGGGUUCGGACUGCGACAUGAGAGACGUAAGAUAGGAGAACGGACUGGGAAGUCCGGCCGGAGAGAGUGAAAGCCUCGUAUCCGAAAUCCCAAGUCAUCUAGCAGGAUCCAGAGUAGGACGAGACACGAGAAACCUUGUCUGAAGGAGCGGGGACCACCCCGUAAGGCUAAAUACUUCUUAGUGACCGAUAGCGCAUAGUACUGUGAAGGAAAGGUGAAAAGUACCCCGGGAGGGGAGUGAAAGAGAACCUGAAACCCUGUGUCUACAAGCUGUGGGACCUCUUUAUAUGAGGGACUGCGUACUUUUUGUAGAACGGUCCGGCGAGUUGUGCGUACUGGCGAGGUUAAGGACUUAAGGUCCGGAGCCGAAGUGAAAGCAAGCGUUAAGAGCGCGGUAAGUCAGUGAGUGCAGACCCGAAACCGGGUGACCUAUCCAUGUCCAGGUUGAAGCUUCCGUAAGAGGAAGUGGAGGACCGAACCCACAUCCGUUGAAAAGGGUGGGGAUGAGGUGUGGAUAGCGGAGAAAUUCCAAUCGAACCCGGAGAUAGCUGGUUCUCCUCGAAAUAGCUUUAGGGCUAGCCUCAUGAGAGUCUUAUGGAGGUAGAGCACUGAAUUGCCUAGGGGGCGUCAAAGCUUACCAAAGCAUAUCAAACUCCGAAUGCCAUCAAGAUGAUUCAUGGGAGUCAGACCAUACGAGAUAAGUUGGAUGGUCAAAAGGGAAAGAGCCCAGACCUACAGCUAAGGUCCCAAAGUGCGUGUUAAGUGGAAAAGGAUGUGGGGAUUCUAAGACAACUAGGACGUUGGCUUAGAAGCAGCCAUUCAUUGAAAGAGUGCGUAAUAGCUCACUAGUCGAGAGUCCCUGCGCCGAAAAUGUCCGGGGCUGAAA
rnacentral:rRNA from 1 species